GGGGCUAUAGCUCAGCUGGGAGAGCGCCUGCCUUGCACGCAGGAGGUCGGCGGUUCGAUCCCGCCUGGCUCCACCA
rnacentral:tRNA from 1 species